AUUUGCACUAUUUAAGCAUUCAUGAGAUAAAACGAGCGUGCGUUGGAUACACUUUGGAACUUAGGCAAAGAAACACAUAUAAUACGUUAAUAUGACGUUAAGAAUGAGAUCUCAAAAGGUCAAAUGCUUAUUUGGUAUCAAAAGUACACUAUUUGGAGUGUAUUUGCACUAUUUUAAGCAUUCAUGAGAUAAAACGAGCGUGCGUUGGAUACGCUUUGGAACUUAAGCAAAUAAACACAUAUAAUACACUAAUGGGACGCUAUUAAUGAGUUCUGAUAAGAUGAAAUGCUUAGUUGGUUUCAAAAGUAC
rnacentral:lncRNA from 1 species